ensembl:lncRNA
CCUAUUUAAACUAACACAGACUUCUACUCAGCCAACAGAAAGAAAGCAGAUGCCUGUAAAAAGGGAGGUGGCCCAGCAGCACCACCUCUAACGGAGGCAGAGGAGCUGGUCCUAAGCCAGAAUUUGGGAAGGCCAGUGGCUGAGGGAAUCCCUGGAGGGAGCUCAUCCUCUGAGACCACAUCCCAAGACACAAAUUCUGAUGGUACUAUCUGCCUGGUGGAGCCCCUUCACGCCACAACAGACCUUGUAACUGAUGAAGAGGAUGAAACUGUGUCUGCUGCCUUUACAGAGGGGGAUCCAGAAAGGCAUCUAGAGAGCAUGGCUGGACAGCAGCAGGAUGGUCCCUCAACUUCCACUGCACAGAUUGACACAGUGAGAUGGAUGUUCAGUAAACACCAGAGGUUCAUUCUGUGGAAUUCAUGUGCAACUGUAUAAUUUAAUGUCCUUUAUGUAUUCCCAGUUACCAGUAAAACAAAUAUACAAAAUCCACUUGCUGAGAAAAAUACAAAAAACAGAUAAAGAAAUGCAGUACUUGGACCGCCAGAUUAAGAAGGCAGAUCUGGAAAUUGAAAUACUGGAGCACAAGUUAGAGGUGGGUGCAGGUCACAGGUGAAUUAUGUUAACUACUGGAACAUGAACUAAACUAGC